AUUUCACAAAGUAAAAUAUAUUGAGUUUAGUACCUGCUCGUUUCAGGACCCACAGCUUCACACAGCUCAUACAACUGGUUUGCAACCAUGUACCGUACACGCCAAGACUUAUCCUGAGAGAAGUUGACAAUGACAGGCAGGAUAUGUGCCACACAGUCCUGGGGCUCCAACAGCUUACCAAGUGCAGCACAGCCCUCAACAGCUAAUAAGCGCACAGAAUCCUGAUCAUCCUGGGUAAGAUCAUCAAAUAUUGACAUGAUGUCACUCUUCAGGUAAGCAGAUUCAACUGUAGCAGCAAACUUCCCCAAGUUUGUAGCAGCCGACCUUCGCACCAUAGGCAUGUCGUCUUGACACAAUUGGCUGUAAAUAGACCGAAGCUCUGCUUUCAACAUUUCUGGGGCACUUGAGUAAGCAAUAUGAAAGAGCCCACAUGCAGAAACCCUUGCUGUGAACCAUUCACCAGCUGCUAGCCUCUUCACAAGUGGGACGAACCAAUCAACUAAAUCACUCUCCCUCAUCUGGGAUCCAAUUCUACACAAUGACUCCACAGCUUUAUCCCUCACACAGGUCUCCUCAACUGUACAAAGGGUCUCUAGAGGUGGGAGAAGAACAUGAGCAUGCUCCACACCUCCAACAUAAGGAAUAAACACGCCCAACUCUUCUGCCAUUGCCAGCAACACUUCAUCAUCGUCGUCAUUGUUUUCACUCAAAAAAGGGAUCAACUCCUUUCUGGUUCUUUCCUCACCGAGUGCACGCGCAAUAGUUGAUAACCUCCUAAUAGAAUUCAACCGCAAUUGGAUAUCAUCAUUCUUAAGUUCAUCUAUUAACACAGCUAUCGGGUACAAUGGCUCAUCUACCAUUGCCAUCCUCUCAAGAUUCUGUUAGAGCGGUGGAAAUUUUGCCGCCGUUCGCCUGAGAUUCGAGCUUGAAUUUCGUCAAAAUCUAG
rnacentral:misc_RNA from 1 species